GCAUCGGCGGCAGUGGCACCUUGGGCAGAUCGGGAAGGGAUGGCAUCGGCGGCAGUGGCACUGGCAGCUUUGGCAGGUCGCCGGGGAUGGAUGGCAUCGGCGGCAGUGGUACUGGCAGCUUGGGCAGGUCACCGGGGAUGGACGGCAUCGGCGGCAGUGGCACGUUAGGCAAGCCGGGGAUGGUCGGCAUCGACGGCAGAGGCAGCGUUGGCACGCCUGGCACGGUUGGCACUGUCGGCACGACGGCGCCGGGUACUGCCGGCAGCGGCACCGUG
rnacentral:lncRNA from 1 species